GCCCCGGUAGCACAGUAGCUAGUGCGUCGCUCUCGUAAAGCGAAGGUCGAGGGUGCGAUUCCCUCUCGGGGCU
rnacentral:tRNA from 1 species